rnacentral:snRNA from 1 species
GUUCUUGCUUCAAUACUACAUAUAUUAAAAUUAGAAUGACAGACAGAAGAUCAGCAUGGCUCCAAGGCAGGAUGACAUGAAAAUUCAUGAACCAUNCUGUAUUUUU